rnacentral:lncRNA from 1 species
ACCACAAAGUCCAGCAUUCUUAGCAAAUGCAGAUACCGCUCGCUACGUGGAUAGGGCAUGCCCACAAACUUGGAUGAUGGCGUUGUUUACUUCGAAUGAACAGCACACAGUAAUCUCAGAACUUCUCUAGUUAGGCAAAAAAAAAAUUACAUUAGUUUUUCACUAACAUUUCUCGUCAUGCCCAUGUGGUGUUCUGUGCCUGGCUCUGCUAAUUACAAACAAGUGCAAAAAGGAGUUAUCUUUCACCAUUUUACCUACCAGAGACUUACUCCGAUGCUGCCAGUGACUUGUAGCUAUCAAGCAUUAUACUAACGGUGACCAAAGACUGCUAGAGGGGUUUUCAGGCUGAACUGAUGGGGAAUCCAUAGAUUUUUUUCCCAUAAAAUGGAAGAUUCUUGAUUAGAGGUAACCUAACAUUAGCUAGCUCGCUAACCUAGAUGGACAAGGUGGUACAGAAUCUGAUUCCACCAGCAUGUGCUUCCAACCCCUGGCUCACCACAAGGUGAAGGGGAUCUGGAGUCCUUCCACAAUGUCCUGCUGAAAAAUUCACCAAAGCGGGUAAACAAGCAUUAUGGAGCAGUUACACCUUCCGGUUAUGGAGCACAACAAGAUUGUAAGACAUACACCUUCAAGGGACACUGAAAGACCUGGUGGCAUAGCAUGAAAUUCAGGUCACUGGCAACCAAGAGGGUGUGGGUUCAAACCCCAAGUGCGGUUGACUCCCAAGCAAUGUUCCCUCAAUGCUGCAUGUGAGUGCGCAGCAAUAUCAGCCCAUAGAGAGAAGCACGAGAUCGAACUUCACUCAACUUUCUAGAGCAGUGGUCACCAACUGGUUGAUCUCCAAACCAUUCC